UGCAGUCGAACGGUGAAGCCCCGCUUGCGGGGUGGAUCAGUGGCGAACGGGUGAGUAACACGUGAGCAACCUGCCCCUGACUCUGGGAUAAGCGCUGGAAACGGCGUCUAAUACUGGAUACGAGACGUGAUCGCAUGGUCAACGUUUGGAAAGAUUUUUCGGUUGGGGAUGGGCUCGCGGCCUAUCAGCUUGUUGGUGAGGUAAUGGCUCACCAAGGCGUCGACGGGUAGCCGGCCUGAGAGGGUGACCGGCCACACUGGGACUGAGACACGGCCCAGACUCCUACGGGAGGCAGCAGUGGGGAAUAUUGCACAAUGGGCGCAAGCCUGAUGCAGCAACGCCGCGUGAGGGAUGACGGCCUUCGGGUUGUAAACCUCUUUUAGCAGGGAAGAAGCGAGAGUGACGGUACCUGCAGAAAAAGCACCGGCUAACUACGUGCCAGCAGCCGCGGUAAUACGUAGGGUGCAAGCGUUAUCCGGAAUUAUUGGGCGUAAAGAGCUCGUAGGCGGUUUGUCGCGUCUGCUGUGAAAUCUGGGGGCUCAACCCCCAGCCUGCAGUGGGUACGGGCAGACUAGAGUGCGGUAGGGGAGAUUGGAAUUCCUGGUGUAGCGGUGGAAUGCGCAGAUAUCAGGAGGAACACCGAUGGCGAAGGCAGAUCUCUGGGCCGUAACUGACGCUGAGGAGCGAAAGGGUGGGGAGCAAACAGGCUUAGAUACCCUGGUAGUCCACCCCGUAAACGUUGGGAACUAGUUGUGGGGUCCAUUCCACGGAUUCCGUGACGCAGCUAACGCAUUAAGUUCCCCGCCUGGGGAGUACGGCCGCAAGCUA
rnacentral:rRNA from 1 species